rnacentral:tRNA from 1 species
GUUUAAGUAGUUUAAUUAUUAAAGAAUAGUAAUUUGUGGUGUUACAGGUGUAUUAUUUACCUUAGAUC